CAUAUGUCAGCGGCAGACGGGUGAGUAACGCGUGGGAACGUACCUUUUGGUUCGGAACAACACAGGGAAACUUGUGCUAAUACCGGAUAAGCCCUUACGGGGAAAGAUUUAUCGCCGAAAGAUCGGCCCGCGUCUGAUUAGCUAGUUGGUGAGGUAAUGGCUCACCAAGGCGACGAUCAGUAGCUGGUCUGAGAGGAUGAUCAGCCACAUUGGGACUGAGACACGGCCCAAACUCCUACGGGAGGCAGCAGUGGGGAAUAUUGGACAAUGGGCGCAAGCCUGAUCCAGCCAUGCCGCGUGAGUGAUGAAGGCCCUAGGGUUGUAAAGCUCUUUUGUGCGGGAAGAUAAUGACGGUACCGCAAGAAUAAGCCCCGGCUAACUUCG
rnacentral:rRNA from 1 species